CGCGUGAGGGAUGAAGGCCUUCGGGUUGUAAACCUCUUUUAGCAGGGAAGAAGCGAAAGUGACGGUACCUGCAGAAAAAGCACCGGCUAACUACGUGCCAGCAGCCGCGGUAAUACGUAGGGUGCAAGCGUUGUCCGGAAUUAUUGGGCGUAAAGAGCUCGUAGGCGGUUUGUCGCGUCUGCUGUGAAAAUCCAAGGCUCAACCUUGGACCUGCAGUGGGUACGGGCAGACUAGAGUGCGGUAGGGGAGAUGGGAAUUCCUGGUGUAGCGGUGGAAUGCGCAGAUAUCAGGAGGAACACCAAUGGCGAAGGCACAUCUCUGGGCCGUAACUGACGCUGAGGAGCGAAAGCGUGGGGAGCGAACAGGAUUAGAUACCCUGGUAGUCCACGCCGUAAACGGUGGGUGCUAGUUGUGGGCCACAUUCCACGUGGUCCGUGACGAAGUUAACACAUUAAGCACCCCGCCUGGGGAGUACGGUCGCAAGACUAAAACUCAAA
rnacentral:rRNA from 1 species